rnacentral:rRNA from 1 species
GACGAACGCUGGCGGCGUGCUUAACACAUGCAAGUCGAACGGUGAAGCGCCUUCCUUUUUGGUGGGUGUGGAUGAGUGGCGAACGGGUGAGUAACACGUGAGUAACCUGCCCCCUUCUUCUGGAUAACCGCAUGAAAGUGUGGCUAAUACGGGAUAUUCUGGGUCUGUCGCAUGAUGGGUCUGGGAAAGAUAUUGUUUCGGUGGGGGAUGGGCUCGCGGCCUAUCAGCUUGUUGGUGGGGUGAUGGCCUACCAAGGCGGUGACGGGUAGCCGGCCUGAGAGGGUGGACGGUCACACUGGGACUGGGACACGGCCCAGACUCCUACGGGAGGCAGCAGUGGGGAAUAUUGCACAAUGGGCGCAAGCCUGAUGCAGCGACGCCGCGUGAGGGAUGGAGGCCUGCGGGUUGUGAACCUCUUUCGCCAGUGAAGCAGGCCUGCCUCGUUUGUGGGUGGGUUGACGGUAGCUGGAUAAGAAGCGCCGGCUAACUACGUG